GGUGAUCUGCAGCGUGCGACAGAACGUUUAUCCUACCGACCGUAUAUCACCACGAGGGAGCUGCCUCUGAUGAGGGCCGUGGCCUUUUUCAUGCGGUGCCCACCUGAUUUUUCGGGUCAGUGGGGAUAUUUACGCGCUGACGGCGCAAGCGGAGCCGCC
rnacentral:other from 1 species